CUAUAAAGAAUUGUUAGGACUCUUCCAAGACCAAGAAGAUGGUUGAAAGCCUGGAAUGUGUUGCCUAGUUGAGUACCCAUCACAGGACCCUCUGUCAUCCUCCAGGUUAGAAACAUCCAUGUCAAGCAGUCACUCGCUGCUUCUGCAGAGCAGUCUGUCUGAUGUGUUAGAUACUACAAUACAGCUGGGAAGCUGUGGCUCUGUCCCAAACUGGUUUAGGUCAUCUCCAAAUGCCAUGAAGUUGAGCCUGGAUCCUACAGCAAAAGGAGGACUGACUUCCUUCAUCCUGAAAGAAGCCAUGGCAAAUAGAAGCUUGCACAUUUGGCAAAGGAGCCUAAGUCGUUACUAUCUCUCAAGAUUGGAUGCAUGCAGAAGAAUUAUAUCAACUUCUCAAGGCAGGACAUUAUGCAAAACACUCUACCUUUCUGACUUUCUACCUUCAUAUUCCAACGUCUUAACUACAUACUUUUUCCCCCAAAAUAAUGGUACCCAAACUUCAAUGAGUAUAAAAAUCAUUCACUGUGUUUGUUAAAAUCGAUAUUUCCCAGCUCAAUCUGGAAAAACAAAAAUGUAAUGGACCUGGGGCAGGACCUAGGAACCUACAUUUUUAACAAUUAUUUCAAUUGAUUCUUUUUGCAUUGGUCCACAAAUAAAAGCCCCCAAUUUUUUUUUCUCUAACUGACUCUUAAAACCUUUAUCUAACUAUAAAUUCCAGGCAUAUAAAAGACCUAAGAUGAUGUCCAGGAUGCAUUAACACUGAAUUUAUUUCAGUUUACUCCCUUUUCCUCUUUGCUCAGGAUUAUGCCGUAAGACUGAAGAAACUUGAAAAUCUGCCCUUUCAUGUAUUUGAGACUAUUUUUCUCCUCUGAAUACACAGCCUGUGCUUCUUGACAACCCUGAUUCCAACUUCGUCAUUGCUCCACAUUUGUGAACGCUGUGAAGUAAUAAUUUUCAAAGCCAAUGUGAACAAAGAAGUAUAGUCAUGUGUGGUGUUGAAUAGAGUGUUCAGUACCCCUUUCUUAUCAUUUGUAAGGGGUAUCAUUGGUGUUGGGGUACACCACUCAGAUCCCACCCCUUCAACAUGAAGU
rnacentral:lncRNA from 1 species